rnacentral:rRNA from 1 species
GACGAACGCUGGCGGCGUGCUUAACACAUGCAAGUCGAACGAUGAACCCGGAGCUUGCUCCGGUGGAUUAGUGGCGAACGGGUGAGUAACACGUGAGUAACCUGCCCUUGACUCUGGGAUAACUGCGGGAAACUGCAGCUAAUACCGGAUACGACCCUCGGCGGCAUCGCCAGGGGGUGGAAAGAAUUUCGGUCAAGGAUGGACUCGCGGCCUAUCAGCUAGUUGGUGAGGUAACGGCUCACCAAGGCGACGACGGGUAGCCGGCCUGAGAGGGUGAACGGCAACACUGGGACUGAGACACGGCCCAGACUCCGAAGGGAGGCAGCAGUGGGGAAUAUUGCACAAUGGGCGCAAGCCUGAUUCAGCAACGCCGCGUGAGGGAUGACGGCCUUCGGGUUGUAAACCUCUUUUAGUAGGGAAGAAGCGAAAGUGACGGUACCUGCAGAAAAAGCACCGGCUAACUACGUGCCAGCCGCCGCGGUAA